AAAAGGUCAGAGGGACUGGCCAUAGGCAUAUGUGAAGCUUUCUUGCCAAUCUUCAUUGAACUCACACUUCAAAAGUCAUGGUUUUCUCUUUGUUUUAUUGUAAUUUUCUGUUUUAUUAUAAAGAAGAUUGCAGAAAAGAGGCAGAAUAGGAGAGCUGAAAGACAAAAAAAGAGUAUCUAAACAACAGAGGACACAUACUGGAAUCUCUGGAGCUCAUCCCUUCAGAGGGUCCUUCCCAGAAGAACUGUAUCUCCACUUCCUUGGUUCUCUGGAAUAAAUUACAACCUUAUGACUCAUGAGUCCAAACAGGACAGUCUUUACGUCUACCCAUCUUAUGAUUGAUGUGGCUCUCAAGGAACAACAAAACCUAAGCAAAUUAUGGGAAAAAGCAUUUAUCAACCACGCAAAUGAAGCCAUUCUUUAGUUUUUCUACACCAGGAGUUCCAAAACCAAGCUACAUUCAAAGAGAGAAACAACACAUUGGAUACUCAAGUUAUGAACCGUCAGAAGAGUCAGAAAUUC
rnacentral:lncRNA from 1 species